rnacentral:piRNA from 1 species
GGGAUUUGUAGAGUACAACUUGGGAAC